GACGAACGCUGGCGGCGUGCUUAACACAUGCAAGUCGAACGGAAAGGCCCUGCUUUUGUGGGGUGCUCGAGUGGCGAACGGGUGAGCAACACGUGAGUAACCUGCCCUUGACUUUGGGAUAACUUCGGGAAACUGGGGCUAAUACCGGAUAGGAGCUCCUGCUGCAUGGUGGGGGUUGGAAAGUUUCGGCGGUUGGGGAUGGACUCGCGGCUUAUCAGCUUGUUGGUGGGGUAGUGGCUUACCAAGGCUUUGACGGGUAGCCGGCCUGAGAGGGUGACCGGCCACAUUGGGACUGAGAUACGGCCCAGACUCCUACGGGAGGCAGCAGUGGGGAAUAUUGCACAAUGGGCGGAAGCCUGAUGCAGCAACGCCGCGUGCGGGAUGACGGCCUUCGGGUUGUAAACCGCUUUCGCCUGUGACGAAGCGUGAGUGACGGUAAUGGGUAAAGAAGCACCGGCUAACUACGUG
rnacentral:rRNA from 1 species